AGAGUAGGCGCAGGCAGUUGCAGAUCAGUUGUCAUGACUGGUUUGAGGAAAGUCCGGACUCCCGAAAGACCAAACUUGCUGGAUAACGUCCAGUGCGAGCGAUCGUGAGGAUAGUGCCACAGAAAGAUACCGCCAGGAAUAGUAAUGGGUGAUGGGAAAAAACACCAAUUACCAUAUUAUCAAUUAACAGUUCUUGGUAAGGGUGCAAAGGUGCGGUAAGAGCGCACCAGCAACGUCGAGAGGCGUUGGCUCGGUAAACCCCGGUUGGGAGCAAGGCCGGAGGAACUACGGUUGGUCUUUUACCAGUUCCGUAAGUAAAGAGCCGCUAGAGGCGUUUGGUAACAAGCGUCCCAGAUAGAUAACUGCCCUCGCAAGAGAACAGAACCCGGCUUAUGUCCGACUCUCUCU
rnacentral:RNase_P_RNA from 4 species